UACGUAGGGGGCAAGCGUUAAUCGGAAUUACUGGGCGUAAAGCGUGCGCAGGCGGUUUUGUAAGACAGAGGUGAAAUCCCCGGGCUCAACCUGGGAACUGCCUUUGUGACUGCAAGGCUUGAGUGCGGCAGAGGGGGAUGGAAUUCCGCGUGUAGCAGUGAAAUGCGUAGAUAUGCGGAGGAACACCGAUGGCGAAGGCAAUCCCCUGGGCCUGCACUGACGCUCAUGCACGAAAGCGUGGGGAGCAAACAGG
rnacentral:rRNA from 1 species